rnacentral:rRNA from 1 species
CCAAUAGCGUAUAUUAAAGUUGUUGCAGUUAAAAAGCUCGUAGUUGAAUUUCGGGAUCAGUACGCCGGUCGUGCCUUCGGUAUGCACUGGUGUCACUGAUUCCUCCCUUCUGAAGAACCGUUAUGCCAUUUAUUUGGUGUGGCGGGGAAUCAGGACUGUUACUUUGAAAAAAUUAGAGUGUUUAAAGCAGGCUCGCGCUUGAAUACAUUUGCAUGGAAUAAUGAAAUAGGUCGUUUGAUUCUAUUUUGUUGGUUUCUAGGAUCGACGUAAUGAUUAAUAGGGAUAGUUGGGGGCAUUAGUAUUCAAUUGUCAGAGGUGAACUUCUUGGAUUUAUUAAAGACUAACUACUGCGAAAGCAUUUGGCAAGGAUGUUUUCAUUAGUAAAGAACGAAAGUUAGGGGAUCGAAGAUGAUCAGAUACUGUCGUAGUCUUAACCAUAAACUAUGCCGACUAGGGAUCGAAUGAUGUUAAUUUUUUAAUGACUCAUUCGACGCCUUACG